GACAGAGGUCCCGAGCGUUAGGCGGAAUCACUGGGCUUAAAGCGUGUGUAGGCGGACUUCUAAGUACCUUGUGAAAUCCCACAGCUCAACUGUGGAACUGCUUGGUAUACUGGUUGUCUUGGGUCAUCUAGGGGCGAGCGGAACAAACGGUGGAGCGGUGAAAUGCGUAGAUAUCGUUUGGAACGCCAAUGGUGAAAACAGCUCGCUGGGGAUGUACCGACGCUGAGACACGAAAGCCAGGGGAGCAAACGGG
rnacentral:rRNA from 1 species